AACAGAAAGGAUUGGAAAAUAGUCGAUGCCAACGCAGAGGCUCUUGUUCUCGUAUGAGCCAUAAUUGUCUAUUGACUGAAGGUGGUGGAGAUAAUUCAACAAGAUGAUUUACAAUGUAAUUCAAGAGAUCUGUCUAGUCUGUUGGACUGUUAAGGCACCACACAAGGUUUGUCGACCAUUCUUUUCCUCACCGUCUUUUGAAUGACUAAUUCCAGAGAAUAGUAAACCGUUAUUGUUAAAGAAUAUACAGGAUAUUUAUGAUAAUUCCAAGUCAACCCAACUCUAAUGGGUACCUAAGAUCAGUUGAGGAAAAGAUAGGUGUAAGAUAAUACCUUAAUAACAUUCAGUAAUAGUAAAUAAUUACCUGAUGCAUGGCUAGUCCAGCUUUCUCUGGAAAUGUUCCAGCCCAGUGCACACAUC